AUGCAGUGUGUGUGUGUGCAGGGGGAAAGCAGGGGGGGAAACAGGGUGAGAACAGGGGGAGAGCAUGGGAGAACAGGGGGAGAGCAGGGGGAGAACAGGGGGAAAGCAGAGGGAGAACAGGGGGAGAGCAGGGGGAGAACAGGGGGAGAACAGGGGGAGAGCAGGGGAGAACAGUGGGAGAGCAGGGGAGAACACGGGGAGAGCAGGGGAGAACAGGGGGAGAGCAGAGGGAGAACAGGGGGAGAGCAGGGGGAGAGCAGGGGGAGAACAGGGGGAGAGCAGGGGAGAACAGGAGGAGAGCAGAGGGAGAACAGGGGGAGAGCAGGGGGAGAGCAGGGGGAGAACAGGGGGAGAACAGGGGGAGAGCAGGGGAGAACAGGGGGAGAGCAGGGGAGAACAGGGGGAGAGCAGGGGAGAACAGGGGGAGAGCAGGGGAGAACAGGGGGAGAGCAGGGGAGAACAGGGGGAGAGCAGGGGGAGAACAGGGGGAGAGCAGGGGGAGAACAGGGGGAGAGCAGGGGAGAACAUGGGGAGAGCAGAGGGAGAACAGGGGGAGAGCAGGGGGAGUACAGGGGGAGAACAGGAGGAGAGCAGGGGGAGAACAGGGGGAGAGCAGGGGAGAACAGGGGGAGAGCAGGGGGAGAGCAGGGGGAGAGCAGGGGGGAACAGGGGGAGAGCAGGGGGAGAGCAGGGGGAGAACAGGGGGAGAACAGGGGGAGAGCAGGGGAGAACAGGGGGAGAGCAGGGGGAGAACAGGGGGAGAGCAGGGGGAGAGCAGGGGGAGAACAGGGGGAGAACAGGGGGAGAGCAGGGGAGAACAAGGGGAGAGCAGGGGGAGAACAGGGGGAGAGCAGGGGGAGAACAUGGGGAGAACAGGGGGAGAGCAGGGGAGAACAGGGGGAGAACAGGGGGAGAGCAGGGGAGAACAGGGGGAGAGCAGGGGGAGAACAGGGGGAGAGCAGGGGAGAACAGGGGGAGAGCAGGGGGAGAACAGGGGGAGAGCAUGGGAGAACAGGUGGAGAGCAGGGGGAGAGCAGGGGGAGAUCGAUGGAUACAGAGGGAGAGCAGAGGUAG
rnacentral:lncRNA from 1 species